rnacentral:rRNA from 1 species
CCUACGGGUGGCAGCAGUGGGGAAUAUUGCACAAUGGGGGAAACCCUGAUGCAGCAACGCCGCGUGAGUGAAGAAGUAUUUCGGUAUGUAAAGCUCUAUCAGCAGGGAAGAAGAAAGACGGUACCUGACUAAGAAGCCCCGGCUAACUACGUGCCAGCAGCCGCGGUAAUACGUAGGGGGCAAGCGUUAUCCGGAUUUACUGGGUGUAAAGGGAGCGUAGACGGCAGAACAAGUCUGGAGUGAAAUGCCGGGGCUUAACCCCGGAACUGCUUUGGAAACUGUGCAGCUAGAGUGCAGGUGAGGUAGGUGGAAUUCUGGGUGUAGCGGUGAAAUGCGUAGAUAUUAGGAGGAACACC